rnacentral:lncRNA from 1 species
GGGGAGGGUAGGCAGGUCGGAGGAGGGAGUUGGGAGGAAAGCGGCGGCGGUGGCGGCUUCAACAGCAGCUCUUGCCCUUAAGGAACAAUGAAACACAAAGAUGGUGCAGACCCAGGCCCUGCUUUGACUGGGAGAAAGAUGCAUUCAGUUGACUAAAACUUGAAGCUUGGUGGCAUGCAUGUUUAGUCCCAGCUACACAGCAGGGAGGCUGAGGCUGAAGGAAUACUUGAGCCCAGGAAUUCAAGACUAGCCUGCACAACAUAGUGAGACCCUGACUUUAAAAUAAAUUUAAAAAAAUUAAAAGCAACAAGACUUUCUGCUUGUAUAUGAUGAUGUUAGUAUGCUGACUUACAAGCCACAGCAUGUUCCGAAGAGAUGAUUGGAAGAUGGAAGUGGAGGGUUAAAUAAUGAAAUGCAGCUAACAUUUCGGAAAGUUUCUAAAAGUUGUACAACAUGCCCUACAGCUACUCUUUAAAUCUCCAAAUCAAAUGAGUUUCAGGUGGAGCCUCUGGGAGGUGAUGAGGUCAUGAGAGUGGAGCCUCAUGAAUGGGAUGAGCACUCCUACAAAAAGGAUUCCAGAGAGCUCGCUUGCUCCUUCCACAGUGUGAGGACACAGAGGGAAGGCUCUGUCUAUGAAUGAGAAAGUGGGUCCCCACCAGACAUUGAAUCUGCCGCAUCUUGAUACUGGACUUCCAGUCUCCAGAACUGUGGGCAAUAAAUGUCUGUUGUUUAUUACCUGUCCAGUAUCUUUGGUAUUUUGCUAUAGCAACCCAAAUGGACUAAGAAAACACCAGAGGCCAUACCUAAUAAAAAUAUUGACAUCACAA